AUACGAAGGGGGCUAGCGUUGUUCGGAAUUACUGGGCGUAAAGCGCGCGUAGGCGGAUUGGUCAGUUAGGGGUGAAAUCCCAGGGCUUAACCCUGGAACUGCCUCUAAUACUGCCAGUCUUGAGUUCGGGAGAGGUGAGUGGAAUUCCUAGUGUAGAGGUUAAAUUCGUAGAUAUUAGGAAGAACACCAGUGGCGAAGGCGGCUCACUGGCCCGAUACUGACGCUGAGGCGCGAAAGCGUGGGGAGCAAACAGGAUUAGAAACCCUAGUAGUCC
rnacentral:rRNA from 1 species